GCCCCGGUGACCAAGUGGUUAAUGAGUCCGCCUCGGAUGCGGGAGGUCGUAGGUUUAAACCCCGGCCGAAUCA